rnacentral:rRNA from 1 species
GGUUCUCCCCGAAAGCUAUUUAGGUAGCGCCUCGUGAAUUCAUCUCCGGGGGUAGAGCACUGUUUCGGCAAGGGGGUCAUCCCGACUUACCAACCCGAUGCAAACUGCGAAUACCGGAGAAUGUUAUCACGGGAGACACACGGCGGGUGCUAACGUCCGUCGUGAAGAGGGAAACAACCCAGACCGCCAGCUAAGGUCCCAAAGUCAUGGUUAAGUGGGAAACGAUGUGGGAAGGCCCAGACAGCCAGGAUGUUGGCUUAGAAGCAGCCAUCAUUUAAAGAAAGCGUAAUAGCUCACUGGUCGAGUCGGCCUGCGCGGAAGAUGUAACGGGGCUAAACCAUGCACCGAAGCUGCGGCAGCGACACUAUGUGUUGUUGGGUAGGGGAGCGU